AUAGUAUGCGAGCUCGUCGGGACUCGAUCGCAAACUUUUGCUGUCAACUUGGGGACUCGAAAGGAGGACAUUCAAAGGCUUGUUUUAUCUAUGAAGCAUUUAUCAUCAGAUUUUUAUCAGGCAAAUGAAGGGAAAACCUCUUUGAAAAGUGGUGUUUGUGCUCCCCUUGGUACUAGCUCUAUGCAGUUGACUCCGAGGGACGCGUUUUUCGCGAAAAAGAGGAAAGUGCUUAUCGGAGAGAGCCUUGGUAAGAUAUGCGGCGAGCUUAUUUGUCCAUAUCCGCCCGGGAUUCCAGUUUUGGUUCCUGGUGAAGUGAUUACUGAGGAUGCACUCUCCUAUCUUUUGGAUGUGAGGAAUAUGGGCGCGGGAAUUAGCGGCGCAGCUGAUGAUAAGCUCUCUUCCAUGCUUGUGUGUGACUUUUAAUGCAGGUUAUUCUUUUGAUGUUUAAUUUUUAACGCGGGAUCGACUCGCAAACAUGCAAAUUAAGGACUAGAAAUAAUAUGGAUUUGUUUGCUUCAAAACUAUAUCAGAACAAAAGGUGAAGGAUUUGUAAGCAGCAGUUAGAUAUAUAGCAAUGAAAAAAAAUAUGCUUGAACUUGGUUGUAAAAUGGCAGUAAAAUUAAAGGCAAUAUGGAGCUUCUACUUUGUACUUUAUCCUUUCUCCUAUUCAAUGAAUUGCAGAGAAA